GUUUGAUCAUGGCUCAGGACGAACGCUGGCGGCGUGCCUAACACAUGCAAGUCGAGCGAGGUGUAUACACCUAGCGGCGGACGGGUGAGUAACACGUGGGUAACCUACCUCAGAGAGGGGAAUAGCCUUCCGAAAGGAAGAUUAAUACCGCAUAAAAUGUACAUUUAGCAUUAUGAGUACAUCAAAGGAGAAAUCCGCUUUGAGAUGGGCCCGCGGCGCAUUAGCUAGUUGGAAAGGUAACGGCUCACCAAGGCGACGAUGCGUAGCCGACCUGAGAGGGUGAUCGGCCACAUUGGAACUGAGACACGGUCCAGACUCCUACGGGAGGCAGCAGUGGGGAAUAUUGCACAAUGGGGGAAACCCUGAUGCAGCAACGCCGCGUGAAUGAUGACGGCCUUCGGGUUGUAAAGUUCUUUGAUUGGGGACGAUAAUGACGGUACCCAAAAAACAAGCCACGGCUAACUACGUGCCAGCAGCCGCGGUAAUACGUAGGUGGCGAGCGUUGUCCGGAUUUACUGGGCGUAAAGGAUGCGUAGGUGGACACUUAAGUGGGAUGUGAAAUCCCCGGGCUCAACCCGGGAACUGCAUUCCAAACUGGGUGACUUGAGUGCAGGAGAGGAAAGCGGAAUUCCUAGUGUAGCGGUGAAAUGCGUAGAUAUU
rnacentral:rRNA from 1 species